rnacentral:ncRNA from 2 species
CAGUGAGGUAGAGGCGCGAUAUUUAACAGUCCUUGGUGGAGUGCGAGAAAACGAUGAGGCCAGGGAGAAGGAAAUGUCGCCGAAGCUUGUAAUAUGCUCGGUAUUACAUGCUGGGUCUGCAGUUAAUAGCUGCAGGACUGUCUCAAUAAAUUCCCCGAUUUAUUGAGUUGAGCUAUCUCAUUU